CAGUAGCCGCGGUAAUACAGAGGAUGCAAGCGUUAUCCGGAAUGAUUGGGCGUAAAGCGUCUGUAGGUGGCUUUUCAAGUCCGCCGUCAAAUCCCAGGGCUCAACCCUGGACAGGCGGUGAAAACUACCAAGCUGGAGUACGGUAGGGGCAGAGGGAAUUUCCGGUGGAGCGGUGAAAUGCGUUGAGGUCGGAAAGAACACCAGUGGCGAAGGCGACCCUCUGGUCUGUAACUGACGCUGAGGCUCGAAAGCGUGGGGAGCAAACAGGAUUAGAUACCCGGGUAGUCCCUGUCUCUUAUAC
rnacentral:rRNA from 1 species